AUUGAACGCUGGCGGCAGGCCUAACACAUGCAAGUCGAGCGGAUGAAGGGAGCUUGCUCCUGGAUUCAGCGGCGGACGGGUGAGUAAUGCCUAGGAAUCUGCCUGGUAGUGGGGGAUAACGUCCGGAAACGGGCGCUAAUACCGCAUACGUCCUGAGGGAGAAAGUGGGGGAUCUUCGGACCUCACGCUAUCAGAUGAGCCUAGGUCGGAUUAGCUAGUUGGUGGGGUAAAGGCCUACCAAGGCGACGAUCCGUAACUGGUCUGAGAGGAUGAUCAGUCACCCUGGAACUGAGACACGGUCCAGACUCCUACGGGAGGCAGCAGUGGGGAAUAUUGGACAAUGGGCGAAAGCCUGAUCCAGCCAUGCCGAGUGUGUGAAGAAGGUCUUCGGAUUGUAAAGCACUUUAAGUUGGGAGGAAGGGAAGUAAGUUAAUACCUUGCUGUUUUGACGUUACCAACAGAAUAAGCACCGGCUAACUUCGU
rnacentral:rRNA from 1 species